UGUGGCCUGGGAGCCCAUACAGGAAGGGCAGGCUAGGCCUAGGCCAGGGGUCUUUAAAGUGGCCCGAUGCUAGCUGGGCGUGGUGGUGCACACCCGUAGUCCCAGCUACCUGGGAGGCUGAUGUAGGAGGAUCGCUUGAGCUCGGGAGUAGGAGGCUGCAGUGAACUAUGUUUGUGCCACAGCACUCCAGCCUGGGCCACAGGGCAAGAAAAGAGAAAAAUAAAAGAAAAGAAAAAAAAAGAAAGUGGCUUGGUGGACUGUUUGGGUUUAUACCUUUGGUAUUUCAGAGGCGUCUUAAGAAAGCCUGGGACCUCAGAUCAGAGCUGAGAAUGGGACACUGGGACGAGAACUGGUCAUUUGCCCUGGGGUAGCUCUGGCUGGUUUUCUGUACACCCCAUUCCAUCUCCCCAGGAGCGGUUUCAAGUCAAGAAUCCCCCCGCAGCCUACAUCCAGAAGCUGAAGAGCUAUGUGGAUACUGGUGGGGUCAGCCGAAAGGUAGCAGCUGAUUGGAUGUCCAACCUGGGGUUUAAGAGGCGAGUUCAGGAGUCCACACAGGUGCUACGGGAGCUGGAGACCUCCCUGAGGACCAACCACAUUGGGUGGGUGCAAAAGUUCCUCAAUGAAGAGAACCGUGGCCUGGAUGU
rnacentral:lncRNA from 1 species